UCCCCGAUGCCAUGAAUUCCAGAUUUGGAGGU
rnacentral:piRNA from 1 species